UAUUUUAUUAAUUAAUUUAAAUAUUUUUGUUUAAUUAACAUUUAAAAUUACAAAAGUAAUUUUAUUAUUUAUAAGUUAUAGUAUAAAUUUACAAUAAAUUAUUUAUUUAAUGAUAAAUAAAGUAAAGUGAUUGAAUUAGUAAAAAAAUUUAAAAAAUAGAUUUAAUUGAUCGUACCUUUUGCAUCAGGGAUAAUUAAUAAAACAAUUUAUUAUUUUAAUUUAUCUCGAAAAGGAAAGAGUAAAUUAAUUAUGUGAAUUAAUGUGACAAAAUUACAUUAAAUAUUUAAUUAUAGGUGAAAUGCCAUUAGAUUUCUUUGAUAUCUAGUUUCUAGAAAAAUAAAUUAAAUUUGGGUAUAGUAAUAAUUUUAUUAAAAAUUAAUUUUAUAAAAAUGAUUAUUAUGCUACAUACUUAAGGGAUCAACUUUAAGUAUUGUUUAUAAAUUUGUUUAAAUUAAAGGUAAAAUUGUAUAAAUAGAAAUCUUAUUCUAUAGAAAAUAUGUUACAAUGUAUUUACAAAAUAUCAAAUUAAUUUAUAUUGUAUUUUAAUAUUAUAUCUAGAAAUUAAUUAUAAUUAUAAAAGUUAAGGUAAAAUGAUUAUAUUAAUAUAGCUUUAUUAUUUAAUGAAUAUAUUUAAGUAUAAAUAUUUUUGUUAAGGAACUCGACCAAUCUUUGGUUUUAUUACCCUUAGGUUCACCUGUUUAACAAAAACAUGUCUUUUUGAAUAUAAUAUAAAGUCUAUUCUGCUCAAUGAUUUAUUAAAUAGCCGCAGUAUCCAUGACUGUGCGAAGGUAGCAUAAUCAGUUGCUUUUUAAUUGAAAGCUUGUAUGAACGGAUGAAUGAAACUUAUAUUGUCUCAACAAAAUAAAUAAAAAUUAAAAUCUUAGUUAAAAUGCUAAGAUGUAUUUAAGGGACGAGAAGACCCUAUAGAAUUUUACUAUAGUAUAAAUACGAAGAAGAUUGGACGAACGGCUUCGUUAUUUAUACAAUUGUUUAGCUGGGGCAGCAUCUAAAUUAAAUUAACUUUAGAAUGAAAAUAAUCUUAAACAAUUAUAAUUGAAUAAAAAGAAACAAUUUAUUAAUAUUAGAAAAAAUUACCUUAGGGAUAACAGCGUUAUGCUUUUGUAAAGACCGUAUUUAAAAAAGCGUUUGCGACCUCGAUGUUGAAUUAAGGUAAAAAUCAGGUUGCAGCAGCCUGAUAUUUAAGUCUGUUCGACUUUUAAUAUCUUACAUGAUUUGAGUUCAGAUCGGUGUAAGCCAGAUCGGUUUCUAUCUUUAAAUAUAUAAUAAAUGUUUUUGUACGAAAGGAUCAGAUAUUAAAAAUAUUUUUUUUAAUAAGAAUAAUAGUAAU
rnacentral:rRNA from 1 species